CACGUAGGGGGCGAGCGUUGUCCGGAUUUAUUGGGCGUAAAGAGCUCGUAGGCGGCUCAGUAAGUCAGGUGUGAAAACUCCAGGCUCAACCUGGAGACGCCAUCUGAUACUGCUGUGGCUAGAGUCCGGUAGGGGAGCAUGGAAUUCCUGGUGUAGCGGUGAAAUGCGCAGAUAUCAGGAGGAACACCAGUGGCGAAGGCGGUGCUCUGGGCCGGAACUGACGCUGAGGAGCGAAAGCGUGGGGAGCAAACAGG
rnacentral:rRNA from 1 species